UACGUAGGGUGCGAGCGUAAUCGGAAUUACUGGGCGUAAAGGGUGCGCAGGCGGUCUCGUAAGCUGGGUGUGAAAGCCCCGGGCUUAACCUGGGAAUGGCAUUCAGGACUGCGAGGCUUUGAGUGUGGCAGAGGGAGUGGAAUUCCACGUGUAGCAGUGAAAUGCGUAGAGAUGUGGAGGACACCGAUGGCGAAGGCAGCCUCCUGGGCCAGCACUGACGCUCAUGCACGAAAGCGUGGGGAGCAAACAGG
rnacentral:rRNA from 1 species